GGUGGACCUCGGAUCAGGUAGGGAUACCCGCUG
rnacentral:rRNA from 1 species